GUACCGUUCAGCAGCUUACCAUGCAGUCGAUCGAUAGAUCCCAGCUCUGCUGGGGGGAUUAUUGGCGAACGGGUGAGUAACACGUGAUUGUAACCUGUCCUUAACUCUGGGAUAAGCCUGGGAAACUGGGUCUAAUACCGGAUAGGAGCGUCCACCGCAUGGUGGGUGUUGGAAAGAUUUAUCGGUUUUGGAUGGACUCGCGGCCUAUCAGCUUGUUGGUGAGGUAAUGGCUCACCAAGGCGACGACGGGUAGCCGGCCUGAGAGGGUGACCGGCCACACUGGGACUGAGACACGGCCCAGACUCCUACGGGAGGCAGCAGUGGGGAAUAUUGCACAAUGGGCGCAAGCCUGAUGCAGCGACGCCGCGUGAGGGAUGACGGCCUUCGGGUUGUAAACCUCUUUCAGUAGGGAAGAAGCGAAAGUGACGGUACCUGCAGAAUAAGCACCGGCUAACUACGUGCCAGCAGCCGCGGGUAAUACGUAGGGUGCGAGCGUUAUCCGGAAUUAUUGGGCGUAAAGAGCUCGUAGGCGGUUUGUCGCGUCUGUCGUGAAAGUCCCGGGGCUUACCCCGGAUCUGCGGUGGGUACGGGCAGACUAGAGUGCAGUAGGGAGACUGGAAUUCCUGGUGUAACGGGUGGAAUGCGCACAUGUCAGGAGGAACACCGAUGGCGAAUGCAGGUCUCUGGGCUGUAACUGACGCUGACGAGCGAAAGCAUGGGGAGCGACAGGAUUAAGAUACCCUGGUAGACCAUGCCGUAAACGUUGGGCACUAGGUGUGGGGACAAUUCCACCGGUUUCCGCGCCCGCAACCUAAA
rnacentral:rRNA from 1 species